rnacentral:rRNA from 1 species
GACGAACGCUGGCGGCGUGCUUAACACAUGCAAGUCGAACGGAAAGGCCCUGCUUUUGUGGGGUGCCCGAGUGGCGAACGGGUGAGUAACACGUGAGUAACCUGCCCUUGACUUUGGGAUAACUUCAGGAAACUGGGGCUAAUACCGGAUAGGAGCUCCUGCUGCAUGGUGGGGGUGGGAAAGUUUCGGCGGUUGGGGAUGGACUCGCGGCUUAUCAGCUUGUUGGUGGGGUAGUGGCUUACCAAGGCUUUGACGGGUAGCCGGCCUGAGAGGGUGACCGGCCACAUUGGGACUGAGAUACGGCCCAGACUCCUACGGGAGGCAGCAGUGGGGAAUAUUGCACAAUGGGCGGAAGCCUGAUGCAGCAACGCCGCGUGCGGGAUGACGGCCUUCGGGUUGUAAACCGCUUUCGCCUGUGACGAAGCGUGAGUGACGGUAAUGGGUAAAGAAGCACCGGCUAACUACGUG